GACGAACGCUGGCGGCGUGCCUAAUACAUGCAAGUAGAACGCACAGGAUGCACCGUAGUUUACUACACCGUAUUCUGUGAGUUGCGAACGGGUGAGUAACGCGUAGGUAACCUGCCUGGUAGCAGGGGAUAACUAUUGGAAACGAUAGCUAAUACCGCAUAAGAACAUUUACUGCAUGGUAGAUGUUUAAAAGGUGCAAAUGCAUCACUACCAGAUGGACCUGCGUUGUAUUAGCUAGUAGGUGAGGUAACGGCUCACCUAGGCGACGAUACAUAGCCGACCUGAGAGGGUGAUCGGCCACACUGGGACUGAGACACGGCCCAGACUCCUACGGGAGGCAGCAGUAGGGAAUCUUCGGCAAUGGGGGGAACCCUGACCGAGCAACGCCGCGUGAGUGAAGAAGGUUUUCGGAUCGUAAAGCUCUGUUGUUAAGGAAGAACGAGUGUGAGAAUGGAAAGUUCAUACUGUGACGGUACUUAACCAGAAAGGGACGGCUAACUACGUGCCAGCAGCCGCGGUAAUACGUAGGUCCCGAGCGUUGUCCGGAUUUAUUGGGCGUAAAGCGAGCGCAGGCGGUUAGAUAAGUCUGAAGUUAAAGGCAGUGGCUCAACCAUUGUAGGCUUUGGAAACUGUUUAACUUGAGUGCAGAAGGGGAGAGUGGAAUUCCAUGUGUAGCGGUGAAAUGCGUAGAUAUAUGGAGGAACACCGGUGGCGAAAGCGGCUCUCUGGUCUGUAACUGACGCUGAGGCUCGAAAGCGUGGGGAGCGAACAGG
rnacentral:rRNA from 1 species